CUUAAACUUAUGAGGGUUGCUAACGAAGUUUGCUUGGUCAUCCUAUAAGGCUUAAAGGCUUUGUGGCCACUGGGUCCCCCCAACACUUUUGGGAAAUUGGCAUUACCUAUGGUGCAUGAAAGUGAGUUCGACCUGUAUGGCAAAUGGCGUCCAUUAGUCCCUGAUGCUGUUCAGCAUGUGGACCCAUCUGCAUUUGUUUCUUUGCGCCUUUUGUUGCUUGGUCGUGGCUGUGCCGCGGGUGGCUCUCUGUUCCGGCAAAUCGGGGGCCCUGUGAGUAGGCAUUUGGGCGUUUGGAUUGCCCUGCUUGGGUUCCUUCUGUUCCAG